GAAGAUACGAAAAGAAACCUAACACAAAA
rnacentral:sRNA from 1 species